GCCAAUUCCGUAAUAUGAUCAUGGAAACUGAUCAUUGCCUGAUCCUUCUACCGCCUUGGCGCGCUUUCUUGAGGAAUGUCUUUGGUUAAUGGCUUCACGGCCAUGGAGGUGACAUCAUGUGGACAACAGGCUAGGAUGCCAGAGUUAGCUGCUCGGUGGAGAUCAUUUGAGAGACGGGGUCUUGCCAUGUUGCCCAGGCUGGUCUCGAACUCCUGUGCUCAAGUGAUCUGCCUGCCUUGGCCUCCAAGAGUGCUGGGAUUACAGCUCCGACUCAGAUUUUGAACGGAUGUUUGCAUGUAUACCACAGUGCUACAUUAAAAACCAGUCAUGUGGAUGUGGAGAAGGGUGCUGAUCAGGACUCCCUGUUUGCUAACAAAUUCUACAGCAGAAACAAAGUAUUAAGGUUUGCAGCCAGGAAGCAAGUGCAUGGGGAAUAAGCCUGCAGCUUCUUCCAAAUGAGACAGAGCCAAAUCUUUUUUCUGAGUCUGUUUUCUUCAUUUCUAUUAAACCAAGGUCCUUUUUAAGCAGUCGAAUUUCAUCCAAAGCCAGAGUGAGCUACUUUGUUUGGGGGAACAGUAACAGUUACCUCCACCACUGACUGGCUGCCAUCUGGAUUGAUCCGGAAAGAUCCCAUCUGAAUGGUCUUCUUGGGGUCCACCUGGGCAAUUUCCCAUUCUAGUUCAUCCACCAGAGCCCUGCAUGCUGGUGGAAGAGGAGAGAAUGAGAGCAGGGGACAGGGUAGGGGGUAGGGUGUGAGGAGAAUGGGAUCAACCCAGGAUUUCCAUUCAUCCUUCUCCCAGGCCUUGGAUCUCAUGCCCUCCCAAGGCUCUGCUUCCUCCACUUCUUUUUCCCGUUGUGCCUUUACCUCCACAGUGGAGAUCCUGGCUCCUCCGAGCCCAGGCGGUUCCCAGCAGGGCCCCCAGAAGCAGGGCCAGCCAACCCCAGCCUUUCAUCUUUAGCGUAAUGGGGUCGCUCCACCUGGGUUUGAGUGGGAAUAAAACAUAAGUGUG
rnacentral:lncRNA from 10 species